UACAGAGACUGCAAGCGUUAUUCGGAUUCAUUGGGCGUAAAGGGUGCGUAGGUGGCGCCGUAAGUCGGGUGUGAAAUUUCGGAGCUUAACUCCGAAACUGCAUUCGAUACUGCGGUGCUUGAGGACUGGAGAGGAGACUGGAAUUCAUGGUGUAGCAGUGAAAUGCGUAGAGAUCAUGAGGAAGACCAGUGGCGAAGGCGGGUCUCUGGACAGUUCCUGACACUGAGGCACGAAGGCCAGGGGAGCAAACGGG
rnacentral:rRNA from 1 species